AUUGAACGCUGGCGGCAUGCCUAACACAUGCAAGUCGAACGGGGCAGCAAUGCCUAGUGGCGGACGGGUGAGGAAUACGUAGGAAUCUGCCCUUAAGUGGGGGAUAACCAGGGGAAACCCUGACUAAUACCGCAUGAUCUCUUCGGAGCAAAGAGGGGGACCGCAAGGCCUCUCGCUUCUGGAUGAGCCUACGUCUGAUUAGCUAGUUGGUAGGGUAAAGGCCUACCAAGGCGACGAUCAGUAACUGGUCUGAGAGGAUGAUCAGUCACACCGGAACUGAGGCACGGUCCGGACUCCUACGGGAGGCAGCAGUGGGGAAUAUUGGACAAUGGGCGCAAGCCUGAUCCAGCGAUGCCGCGUGUGUGAAGAAGGCCAUCGGGUUGUAAAGCACUUUAGCCUGGAAAGAAAAAACUUUGGUUAACACCCAAAGUCUUGACGGUACCAGGAGAAUAAGCACCGGCUAACUCUGUGCCAGCCGCCGCAGUAACAC
rnacentral:rRNA from 1 species